ACCGAAUAGGGGAGCCGAAGGGAAACCGAGUCUUAACUGGGCGUUAAGUUGCAGGGUAUAGACCCGAAACCCGGUGAUCUAGCCAUGGGCAGGUUGAAGGUUGGGUAACACUAACUGGAGGACCGAACCGACUAAUGUUGAAAAAUUAGCGGAUGACUUGUGGCUGGGGGUGAAAGGCCAAUCAAACCGGGAGAUAGCUGGUUCUCCCCGAAAGCUAUUUAGGUAGCGCCUCGUGAAUUCAUCUCCGGGGGUAGAGCACUGUUUCGGCAAGGGGGUCAUCCCGACUUACCAACCCGAUGCAAACUGCGAAUACCGGAGAAUGUUAUCACGGGAGACACACGGCGGGUGCUAACGUCCGUCGUGAAGAGGGAAACAACCCAGACCGCCAGCUAAGGUCCCAAAGUCAUGGUUAAGUGGGAAACGAUGUGGGAAGGCCCAGACAGCCAGGAUGUUGGCUUAGAAGCAGCCAUCAUUUAAAGAAAGCGUAAUAGCUCACUGGUCGAGUCGGCCUGCGCGGAAGAUGUAACGGGGCUAAACCAUGCACCGAAGCUGCGGCAGCGACACUAUGUGUUGUUGGGUAGGGGAGCGUUCUGUAAGCCUGUGAAGGUGUACUGUGAGGUAUGCUGGAGGUAUCAGAAGUGCGAAUGCUGACAUAAGUAACGAUAAAGCGGGUGAAAAGCCCGCUCGCCGGAAGACCAAGGGUUCCUGUCCAACGUUAAUCGGGGCAGGGUGAGUCGACCCCUAAGGCGAGGCCGAAAGGCGUAGUCGAUGGGAAACAGGUUAAUAUUCCUGUACUUGGUGUUACUGCGAAGGGGGGACGGAGAAGGCUAUGUUGGCCGGGCGACGGUUGUCCCGGUUUAAGCGUGUAGGCUGGUUUUCCAGGCAAAUCCGGAAAAUCAAGGCUGAGGCGUGAUGACGAGGCACUACGGUGCUGAAGCAACAAAUGCCCUGCUUCCAGGAAAAGCCUCUAAGCAUCAGGUAACAUCAAAUCGUACCCCAAACCGACACAGGUGGUCAGGUAGAGAAUACCAAGGCGCUUGAGAGAACUCGGGUGAAGGAACUAGGCAAAAUGGUGCCGUAACUUCGGGAGAAGGCACGCUGAUAUGUAGGUGAAGCGACUUGCUCGUGGAGCUGAAAUCAGUCGAAGAUACCAGCUGGCUGCAACUGUUUAUUAAAAACACAGCACUGUGCAAACACGAAAGUGGACGUAUACGGUGUGACGCCUGCCCGGUGCCGGAA
rnacentral:rRNA from 1 species